rnacentral:rRNA from 1 species
ACAUCGGUGACAGGUGGUACAUGGUUGUCGUCAGCUCGUGUCGUGAGAUGUUGGGUUAAGUCCCGCAACGAGCGCAACCCUAUGUUAGUUGCCAUCAUUCAGUUGGGCACUCUAGCGAGACUGCCGGUAAUAAACCGGAGGAAGGUGGGGAUGACGUCAAAUCAUCAUGCCCCUUAUGACCUGGGCUACACACGUGCUACAAUGGUUGGUACAACGAGUUGCGAGUCGGUGACGGCGAGCUAAUCUCUUAAAGCCAAUCUCAGUUCGGAUUGUAGGCUGCAACUCGCCUACAUGAAGUCGGAAUCGCUAGUAAUCGCGGAUCAGCACGCCGCGGUGAAUACGUUCCCGGGCCUU